CUAGGGCGCAAGCCUGAUCUAGCCAUGCCGCGUGUGUGAUGAAGGCCUUAGGGUCGUAAAGCACUUUCGCCUGUGAAGAUAAUGACUGUACCAGGNAAAGAAACCCCGGCUAACUCCGUGCCAGCAGCCGCGGUAAUACGUAGGGGGUUAGCGUUGUUCGGAAUUACUGGGCGUAAAGCGCGCGUAGGCGGUCUGGAAAGUUGGGGGUGAAAUCCCGGGGCUCAACCCCGGAACUGCCUCUAAAACUGCCAGCCUAGAGGCCGAGAGAGGUGAGUGGAAUUCCGAGUGUAGAGGUGAAAUUCGUAGAUAUUCGGAGGAACACCAGUGGCGAAGGCGGCUCACUGGCUCGAUACUGACGCUGAGGUGCGAAAGUGUGGGGAGCAAACAGGAUUAGAUACCCUGGUAGUCCACUCCGUAAACGAUGAAUGCCAGUCGUCGGGGAGCUUGCUCUUCGGUGACGCAGUUAACGCUUAAGCUUUCGCCUGGGGAGUACGGUCGCAAGAUUAAAACUCAAG
rnacentral:rRNA from 1 species